rnacentral:rRNA from 1 species
GACGAGGGGUGCAAGCGUUAUUCGGAAUUACUGGGCGUAAAGGGCGUGUAGGCGGAAUGUUAAGUCAGUUGUUAAAGACCAUUACUCAAUGAUGGGGAGGCAAUUGAAACUAGCAAUCUAGAGUUGAGCAGAGGGAAGUGGAAUUCUCGGAGUAGCGGUAAAAUGCGUAGAUCUCGAGAGGAACACCAAUGGCGAAGGCA